UGGGCGUAAGAGCUCGUAGGCGGUUUGUCGCGUCUGUCGUGAAAGUCCGGGGCUUAACCCCGGAUCUGCGGUGGGUACGGGCAGACUAGAGUGCAGUAGGGGAGACUGGAAUUCCUGGUGUAGCGGUGGAAUGCGCAGAUAUCAGGAGGAACACCGAUGGCGAAGGCAGGUCUCUGGGCUGUAACUGACGCUGAGGAGCGAAAGCAUGGGGAGCGAACAGGAUUAGAUACCCUGGUAGUCCAUGCCGUAAACGUUGGGCACUAGGUGUGGGGACCAUUCCACGGUUUCCGCGCCGCAGCUAACGCAUUAAGUGCCCCGCCUGGGGAGUACGGCCGCAAGGCUAAAACUCAAAGGAAUUGACGGGGGCCCGCACAAGCGGCGGAGCAUGCGGAUUAAUUCGAUGCAACGCGAAGAACCUUACCAAGGCUUGACAUGUUUUCGAUCGCCGUGGAGACACGGUUUCCCCUUUGGGGCGGAUUCACAGGUGGUGCAUGGUUGUCGUCAGCUCGUGUCGUGAGAUGUUGGGUUAAGUCCCGCAACGAGCGCAACCCUCGUUCCAUGUUGCCAGCACGUAGUGGUGGGGACUCAUGGGAGACUGCCGGGGUCAACUCGGAGGAAGGUGAGGACGACGUCAAAUCAUCAUGCCCCUUAUGUCUUGGGCUUCACGCAUGCUACAAUGGCCGGUACAAUGGGUUGCGAUACUGUGAGGUGGAGCUAAUCCCAAAAAGCCGGUCUCAGUUCGGAUUGGGGUCUGCAACUCGACCCCAUGAAGUCGGAGUCGCUAGUAAUCGCAGAUCAGCAACGCUGCGGUGAAUACGUUCCCGGGCCUUGUACACACCGCCCGUCAAGUCACGAAAGUCGGUAACACCCGAAGCCGGUGGCCUAACCCUUGUGGGGGGAGCCGUCGAAGGUGGGACCAGCGAUUGGGACGAAGUCGUAACAAG
rnacentral:rRNA from 1 species